rnacentral:rRNA from 1 species
CAGCAGCCGCGGUAAUACAUAGGUCCCAAGCGUUAUCCGGAUUUACUGGGCGUAAAGAGUCUGUAGCCGGAUGUGUAAGUCUAUUUUCAAAUACUAUGGCUUAACCAUAGAGAGGGAAUAGAUACUGUAUAUCUGGAAGUUAUUGGGGGUUAGUGGAAUUUCCGGUGGAGCGGUGAAAUGCGUUGAUAUCGGAAAGAACGCCAAAAGUGAAAACAGCUAACUACAAUAAACUUGACGGUCAGAGACGAAAGCUCGGGGAGCAAACGGGAUUAGAUACCCCGGUAGUCCGAGCUGUAAAUUAUGCUUGCUAGAUGUUUUGGACCCUUGUGGUCUGGAGUGUCGUAAUCUAACGAGUUAAGCAAGUCGCCUGUGUAGUAUAUUCGCAAGAAUGAAACACAAAGGGAUAGGCGGGGGAACACACAAGCAGUGGAUUAUCUAGAUUAAUUGGAUACUAAGCCAAGAAUCUUACCUAAACUUGACAUGUACUAUGUCCUAUGUGAAAGCAUAGUAGCCUGAGCAAUCAGGCGUGGUACACAGGUGGUGCAUGGCC